GCAGUGGUGCGAUCUUGGCUCACUGCAACCUCUGCCUCCCAGGUUCAAGCGAUUCUCAUGCCUCAGCCUCCCGAGUAGCUGGGACUACAGGCACAAGUCACCAUGCCUGGCUAAUUUUGUAUUUUUAGUAGAGAAGGGGUUUCACCACAUUGGCCGGGCUGGUCUUGAACUCCUGACCUCAGGUAAUCCGCCCAUCUCGGCUUCCCAAAGUGCUGAGAUUACAGGCAUGGGCCACCACGCCCAGCUAGUUCCUCUUUUGAUAAGGCUGUUAACAUUACAAGGUCAGAGAGAGGAAUGGAAUCGACAGUAUAAAUUGGUUCCUGAGAGGGUUUCCUAACAGCUUUGUAAUAAGAAAAAUAUGGCCUUGAUGGUGUAGUGCAUGGACAUCUACCCAGAUAAACAAAUUGUUGACUGCUGAAUUAAUGUGAUUUUGGUCUCUAUUGAUAUUUCAUAGGGCCCUGUCUUAUUCAACUUUACUUUUAAAAUCAGUGAUUUGGAUGAAGGCAUCAGAAACAUCUGAUUUGAGGAUGGAGCAACCCAAUAUUGCUAAUAUAAUAGAUGACAGUGGCAACUGAAAACAGUCCCAGAAUGACCCCAUCGAGAUGAAAUUAAACAGAUUAGAAAUGUAACAUACUCAUUUAAAUUAAAUAAGUUGUAUAAGUUUGGGCUGAAGAAACCUGGCCUUAUAUCAUUUCAUAUAAAAAAGACGGGAUUUUAGUUGUCCUCAGGUUCAAUAUGAACCAAGUAGUAUUCAUGUUGUUAUUAUAUGAUAACAGAAAAAUUAGUGGUACUUCAGGUUUUAUCAGUAGAAGUGUCACAGCCAUAGUCAAAAUACCCCUAACAUACUGCAUUUCACUCUGGGUACCAAAUUUAAGCAAGAUAUUGAUGGCCACUAAGUGUGUAUCCAGAAGAAGAGAUCAGAAUGAUGAGUCCAGAACCCCUGUCACACAGGGAAUAGGUGAAGGAACUAGGGAUAUUUAACUGGAGCAGAGAACAUCUGGAGAGAGAGCAAGAUUCCUGUCCUUGAGAAGUUGAAGCCGUCUCAUGCAGAAGAGGGAAUGAGCUUCCAUUAUGCUGCAGAGCUGGCAGCAAUGGAUGAAAGUUGCAGGAAGUUAGUUUUAGUUCUGUAGAAGGCAAGAGUAGGGUAGACCAAAUCAAAUGCUCACUGGGGUCAGGCUGAUGGAGACAGUAACACUGGCGAGCAGGUGCCCCAGCUCGGACUAUACUGCUGAGUUCUGGUCUGUUGCUGCCACUCUACAGGUCCAGGGUUGUUAGAUCUUCUGGGUUUUUGUUUUGCUUUUUGAAAUAAGGAAAAUAAGCUUAUCUUAAGUUUAUUUUUCCUUGGAUAUACCUAGAUUCCAUACAGUGACAAUACAAAUACAAAGGAAGAACAUCUGGAUUUCAUCCUUGACCUCAUUUACAAAGCAAAAAGAGAUGCUGGAUUCAGAUAUAAAUGUUUAAUUUUGCAGUGUUUAAGUCAGCAAAUCUUCUGUUUUUUAAAAAUAAGCCACAUAUCUAGAUUUUUCUGUGAAAGCUCUCAAUUAAGUGUUGGGAACUAAUUUCAAGAUUUUAAAAAAUGUUAUGCAGGCUUAACGUGUCUGAGAGCCAUAAAUGACCUAACGUUUCCCGUUAGUCUCUGAACUAGGUGAUCUCAGUUCUCUUUCAACUCCAGUACUCUGUAAGUUUCUGUGACCUGUAGUGUACCAUUCUCAGGUGGUGAUAUGGUUUGGAUGUUUUGUCCCCUCCAAAUCUCAUGUUCAAAGUGUGACAUUCAGUGUUAGAGGUGGGCCUAGUAGGAGGUAUUUGGGUCAUGGGGGCGGAUCCCUUAUGUAUGACUUUGUGCCAUCCCCAUAGUAAUGAGUGAGUUCUCACUCUGGUUGUUUAUGCAAGAGCUGGUUGUUUAAAAGAGCCUGGAACUUCCUCCUCUCUCGCUUGCUCUCUCUCACCAUGUGACACACUGGCUCCCCUUCACCUUCUGCCAUGAUUGUAAGCUUCGUGAGGCCCUCACCAGAAGCAGAUGCCAGCGCCAUGCUUCCUAUACAGUUCUAUGCAGAACAGUGAGCCAAAUAAAC
rnacentral:lncRNA from 10 species